GUCAACUACCCCAGUCUUACGACUGGGGCUUGAGAAAUCAAGCCCAAGUUGACUAGCCUCAGUCCACCCAAGGUGGACUACGUUGGUUGAGAAUAUAUAGGCACCGCCGGAUGUUAAUCCUAGUCCUGCGCACUGC
rnacentral:sRNA from 1 species